AUGGGCCUUUGUCCGAUCGGUGGAAGAGAGGCCGGUAAGGGGGAGCGCUGGCCCGGCGUGCCUGUGGCCCACGCGAUGGAGAGGAAGGCCGGCAGGGGCGCUGGGCUGGAGCCAGGCUGGGCUGGAGGCAUGGCUGCGGUCCACGAGCAGAGCGGCCGGCUCAGGGCGAUGCCGCUGGAUCGAGCGAGGAGGUGGGCGGUUGCGGUCAACGCGAGCGGUCGUCUCGCUCGUUUUCAGUGCGCACAGAGACGAGCGGGAGGAUGCAGAAGCAGGGCACGACGACAAGGGACUUGGUGCACGGUGGAGCGACAGGAACGGGAGGCGGAGCUCGCCGGGGAUGGAGGGAUCCGCUUGUUUCCGGGCCGGAUCCGGCCAACGGCGGCGACGAUGUGA
rnacentral:rRNA from 1 species